GACGAACGCUGGCGGCGUGCUUAACACAUGCAAGUCGUACGGUAAGGCCCUUUCGGGGGUACACAAGUGGCGAACGGGUGAGUAACACGUGAGUAACCUGCCCACAACUUUGGGAUAACGCUAGGAAACUGGUGCUAAUACUGGAUAUGUGCCCCUGCUGCAUGGUGGGGGUUGGAAAGCUCCGGCGGUUGUGGAUGGACUCGCGGCCUAUCAGCUUGUUGGUGGGGUAGUGGCCUACCAAGGCGGCGACGGGUAGCCGGCCUGAGAGGGUGACCGGCCACCUUGGGGCUGGGAUUCGGCCCAGGCUCCUACGGGGGGCAGCAGUGGGGGAUAUUGCACCAUGGGCGCCAGCCUGAUGCAGCCACGCCGCGUGCGGGAUGGCGGCCUUCGGGUUGUAAACCGCUUUCAGCCGGGACGGAGCUUUUUGUGACGGUACCUUCAGAAGAAGCACCGGCUAACUACGUG
rnacentral:rRNA from 1 species